AAGAUUUUAAGUUAAAAAAACUAAUAUCCUUCAAAGUUAUAAAUAAAGAAUUUCUAACUCUUUAAGUCUUA
rnacentral:tRNA from 1 species